GACAGAGGGUGCGAACGUUGUUCGGAAUUACUGGGCGUAAAGCGCGUGUAGGCGGCAGCGUGUGUCGGGCGUGAAAUCCCACGGCUCAACCGUGGAAGUGCACUCGAAACUGCGCAGCUAGAGUCCUGGAGAGGAAGGUGGAAUGCUUGGUGUAGAGGUGAAAUUCGUAGAUAUCGGGAGGAACACCGGUGGCGAAGGCGGCGACCUGGGUCGAUACUGACGCUGAGGUGCGAAAGCGUGGGGAGCAAACAGG
rnacentral:rRNA from 1 species